rnacentral:rRNA from 1 species
CGUACACAAAAAUGCACAUGCUGUGAGCUCGAUGAGUAGGGCGGGACACGUGGUAUCCUGUCUGAAUAUGGGGGGACCAUCCUCCAAGGCUAAAUACUCCUGACUGACCGAUAGUGAACCAGUACCGUGAGGGAAAGGCGAAAAGAACCCCGGCGAGGGGAGUGAAAAAGAACCUGAAACCGUGUACGUACAAGCAGUGGGAGCACGCUUAGGCGUGUGACUGCGUACCUUUUGUAUAAUGGGUCAGCGACUUAUAUUCUGUAGCAAGGUUAACCGAAUAGGGGAGCCGAAGGGAAACCGAGUCUUAACUGGGCGUUAAGUUGCAGGGUAUAGACCCGAAACCCGGUGAUCUAGCCAUGGGCAGGUUGAAGGUUGGGUAACACUAACUGGAGGACCGAACCGACUAAUGUUGAAAAAUUAGCGGAUGACUUGUGGCUGGGGGUGAAAGGCCAAUCAAACCGGGAGAUAGCUGGUUCUCCCCGAAAGCUAUUUAGGUAGCGCCUCGUGAAUUCAUCUCCGGGGGUAGAGCACUGUUUCGGCAAGGGGGUCAUCCCGA